rnacentral:rRNA from 1 species
GCGAUAAGCGCCGGUAAGGUGAUAUGAACCGUUAUAACCGGCGAUACCCGAAUGGGGAAACCCAGUGUGACUCGUCACACUAUCAUUAACUGAAUCCAUAGGUUAAUGAGGCGAACCGGGGGAACUGAAACAUCUAAGUACCCCGAGGAAAAGAAAUCAACCGAGAUUCCCCCAGUAGCGGCGAGCGAACGGGGAGGAGCCCAGAGCCUGAAUCAGCAUGUGUGUUAGUGGAAGCGUCUGGAAAGGCGCGCGAUACAGGGUGACAGCCCCGUACACAAAAGCGCAUGUGCUGUGAGCUCGAUGAGUAGGGCGGGACACGUGGUAUCCUGUCUGAAUAUGGGGGGACCAUCCUCCAAGGCUAAAUACUCCUGACUGACCGAUAGUGAACCAGUACCGUGAGGGAAAGGCGAAAAGAACCCCGGCGAGGGGAGUGAAAAAGAACCUGAAACCGUGUACGUACAAGCAGUGGGAGCCCCACCACCAAAGCAUUUGCUGUACCGCGUUGACGGAGCGAAGCGACGUCAAACCGAUAAAACAGCAGUGUAAAGUGAGCCGCAGGGCGCUUUGCGCGACAGCGCAAAGGCAGGCGGUUUCGCGUAGCGAAAGCGAAUGCUUUGGGGUGGGGUGACUGCGUACCUUUUGUAUAAUGGGUCAGCGACUUAUAUUCUGUAGCAAGGUUAACCGAAUAGGGGAGCCGGAGGGAAACCGAGUCUUAAUUGGGCGUUAAGUUGCAGGGUAUAGACCCGAAACCCGGUGAUCUAGCCAUGGGCAGGUUGAAGGUUGGGUAACACUAACUGGAGGACCGAACCGACUAAUGUUGAAAAAUUAGCGGAUGACCUGUGGCUGGGGGUGAAAGGCCAAUCAAACCGGGAGAUAGCUGGUUCUCCCCGAAAGCUAUUUAGGUAGCGCCUCGUGAAUUCAUCUCCGGGGGUAGAGCACUGUUUCGGCUAGGGGGCCAUCCCGGCUUACCAACCCGAUGCAAACUGCGAAUACCGGAGAAUGUUAUCACGGGAGACACACGGCGGGUGCUAACGUCCGUCGUGAAGAGGGAAACAACCCAGACCGCCAGCUAAGGUCCCAAAGUCAUGGUUAAGUGGGAAACGAUGUGGGAAGGCCCAGACAGCCAGGAUGUUGGCUUAGAAGCAGCCAUCAUUUAAAGAAAGCGUAAUAGCUCACUGGUCGAGUCGGCCUGCGCGGAAGAUGUAACGGGGCUAAACCAUGCACCGAAGCUGCGGCAGCGACACUGUGUGUUGUUGGGUAGGGGAGCGUUCUGUAAGCCUGUGAAGGUGUGUCGUGAGGCAUGCUGGAGGUAUCAGAAGUGCGAAUGCUGACAUAAGUAACGAUAAAGCGGGUGAAAAGCCCGCUCGCCGGAAGACCAAGGGUUCCUGUCCAACGUUAAUCGGGGCAGGGUGAGUCGACCCCUAAGGCGAGGCCGAAAGGCGUAGUCGAUGGGAAACGGGUUAAUAUUCCCGUACUUGGUGUUACUGCGAAGGGGGGACGGAGAAGGCUAUGUUGGCCGGG